CUCUGCACUGAAUAACUGAAGCUCCUCAGCAGCUGCACGGAGUCUGCAAGGGAAUAAAUGGAACGAGGACAUGAAAAAACACACACAGAAAGCUGCUGGAGCAUCAGAAACCACCGAGGAGCAAAAAACAAGAGGAAAGACAGAAACAGAGGCCAGAAAUGAAACAAAAACCAGUGGAGAGAAAAGCAGACAGAGGCUUGUUAGAUGUGACAGUAUGAAGAAAAGAAGGCCAACGUUCUCAGAUGAUCCACAGGGGCCUGUAAAGUUUGAUACAGAUGUUCUUAAGAACACACAACACACCACAGCAGAUCAAGACCAGAACAACAUCAUCAUCUCAGACUCAAUCUGAAACUGACUAGUGAACGUUUCUUUCCUUGAUGACUAAUAACUGUAUUACCUCGCUGCUGCUGCUGCUGCUGCUGCUCUUUAUCAUUAAUAACCUCUGGAUUACACAGAGACCUUUGUGUUUACAAAAUUAUUUCUUUCAUAUUGCACUGCGUUUCAUGUAUAAUGUAUUUAUUUGUAUUACUGUAUAUUUUGGUAUAUUUCUGUAUAACAUACUGUACAUCAUACAUGCUGAAAUACUGGAUCACAGAUAUUAUGACAUCCCAGGUUAAAAAAAAAGAAAGAAAAGUGCACUAAAAUACACUAUUUCAGAAAUGCUUCAGUAAUGAUUCCACUGCGUCCCGUGUCAAAGGGUCUUUAAAUCAAAAGUGUAGGUUUACUUGUUGGUGUGUUCUACUCUACAUCAAGCACAUCUCUUUCUAUUGCUCUUUCAUUCAUGCUUCUUUUUCAUCUACAACGUUCCAAUAAUUCCUGCUCACUAAAAGCUGCACAGAUAUAUAUUUUCUUAUCACUCAGGCCUAACAUGCAGUAAUGCUUUAAACACGUUUGACAAGCUGGUUGAUAAAAAA